rnacentral:misc_RNA from 1 species
GAAAUGCGAUAAGUAAUGUGAAUUGCAGAAUUCAGUGAAUCAUCGAAUCUUUGAACGCACCUUGCGCCCUUUGGUAUUCCGAAGGGCAUGCCUGUUUGAGUGUCAUUAAAUUCUCAACCUUGAAAGGCUUGUCUUUUCAAUGGCUUGGAUGUGAGGGUUUUGCUGGCUUCCUUCAGUGGAUGGUCUGCUCCCUUUAAAAGCAUUAGUGGGAUCCUUUGUGGACGGUCACUUGGUGUGAUAAUUAUCUACGCCGUUUGUACUGUGAAGCAAAACUUGUGGGAACCUGCUUAUAACCGUCUGUAAUGGACAAUUUUGAACCUUUGACCUCAAAUCAGGUAGGACUACCCGCUGAACUUAA